UAUGUGUAUUUUACUGAUGUGAAGCCGAAACGUAGCUGAUUGUGGCGAUGACGUUGCCCAGUUAUGCAAAUUAACAAACAGCAAGCGAGGCGUCAUUUCAUAAAUUUAUUACAACUUUACAGGCAAUAGAAACAGAUACAGCAACAAUAGCUGUAUUGUUAAAAAACAAAUCGUGUGCUGAAGGACAAGAUACAACUUCUGACGCAAUCACCGAAUGCAUUUCCCAUAAACAUCAAUUAAGUGCAGCUCAUGGCGUAUACUUAAUUUGAGUAAUCAACUUUGAUGCUUGGCUUCGUAGAACCUCGCGAUGCGCCUCCUUGGUGAGCAUCUGCAGGCUCUCGCCUAUCUGGCGUAUCCUUUGCGGCGCACUCUUC